UGGGGGUCACUGGCACCUCAUGGUCCAGCCUGGAUGUGGGGCAGUGUGUUCUGGGGAGAUGAGGGUCACUGCAACCUCGUGGUCUGGUGGGGACGUGGGGCAGUGUCACCUCGUGGUCCAGCCUGGACCCUCGUCUCUUGGGGAGAUGAGAGUCACUGCCACCGCAUGGUCUGGUGGGGACGUGGGGCAGUGUCACCUUAUGGUCCAACCUGGACAUGGGGCAGUGUCUCUUGGGGAAAUGGGGGUCACUGGCACCCUAUGGGUGUUGCUAUCUCCUCAUGGUCUGAGGUGGACACUGGUCGUUGUCACCUCGUGGUGUGAGGUGGACGUGGGUCAGUGUUCCCUUGUGGUCCAAGGUGGAUGUGGUCAGUGCCCCCUACACGGGGAAAGAGGGGUUUCUACCCCUUAGGGUGAGUAGAGGUGCCCCUGCAAUGAAUCUGUGGGGCUGAGGUGGGGGUAACAGGAGUCACUGUCACGUCAUGGCCUGGCAGGGGACAUGGGGCAGUGGACAUGGGGCAGUGCUCCCUCAGCUGGAGAAGGUGUGGGGGCCCUCCUUUUACCGAGGGGGUGCUCAAAAUGAAGAAAAAUCCCCUUAAAAUGUGUCUGUGGGGCUGAGGUGGCAGGACUGGGGUUUGCUGACCCCUCACGGUCUGAGCUGGACAUGGGUCAGUGCCCCUCACAUGUAGGAUGAGGGGGGAUUUGGGGUCACCCCACUUAGCUGAGGAGAGAUUUCCCCCAAAAUGAGUCUGUGGGGAGGGUGAACGUGGGCUGCUGUCCCCUCAUGGCAGGGGGAACAUGGGUUGGUGCCCCCCACAAACAUGGAGGGUUGAAGGGGUCCUUGCUCCUCAGGGUUGUAAAUGGUGCCUCAGGGGUGGGCUCUUGCUGCCCCACAGGGCUGGGGCAGGACUUGGGGGGUAAAUAUGGGGCUGCUCUUCCCUACAGGUGCUGGUGGGGGACGCUAACACCCUUGCUGGUGACAGCAUGGAUGUAGGCCCGGGGGUGACCCCCAUGAGGAUCGCAUCCGUACCCCCACGAGCUUCACCCCACACGGAGGGGGACCCCCACAGCUCGCCCCCCUUCCCUGAAGAGAAUCGCAGUGUGAUGCCUUGGCCCUGGCUGAGGGGAAGGAGGAAACCUUCUCCCCGGCGAGGCGGCGGGGUUGUGGGGACGCUUUUCGGGUUGCCAGCGCGAGGCUGAAGGUCAGAGACGGGGACUGUUCCCCCGGAGAGGCCCUGGGGCAGAGGAGCUGCUGGUCAGGGGAAGGGGCUGGGGGGUGUCUGUAGGGUCAGGGGGAAUCGAAGGGCAUCCUCCAGCACGAGGUGCGAGCUGCGUUAUCCCCCCAAAAAGAGGUUUAAGAAGAGGCAGGGAGGGAUUCUCCGGGAUGAAAGCCUGUAGAUACAACCGCCCGCACAGAGACGCACGGCAUUUCUGCGGAAAGGGGUGUUGUAAGGACAACGGUAAAGACCCGGCGUGGCCCAGCGUCCUCCAGGAUCGGUCCGGGGGGGACGUGGGUUGAGAAGAUGGGAGGAGAAAGAGGUGUGGGGUGAUGGAAGGCUCCGGGUGGUGGCAUUGGGGUGCUGCACGCGCACCCCCCCACACACACAUAUGGGGAGAUUGGAGGGAUGGGGCUGGCAGUGGGGCUUGGUAGCUUUUAAAAUGAAACACAGGCAGAAGAUGCUGGAUUUUUUAAGGGGGGAGAUGGCAGCACUUCACGAUGAGGCAGCGGAGAGCCCCGGAGGGGCUUGCAGGGAGGGUUAACGUCCCUGCAUCGGCAUCUCCAGCGUGAAUUAACGGGGCAAAAAUAACCCGACGGGUGGAUGGGAGGGAUUCGUCGCUGGGGUCUGGGUGAGAGGAGAGGGGAAGGGGAAAGCAGAAGGCGAUGAUAGAUGGGGAAGUCCUUUUUUUAUUAUUAUUUUAUCUUUUUUUUUUUUCAUCUGGAUAGCGGAAGGGGUUAAGCCUGCUGCCUAAUGAAAUCAGUGGAGAAGUGGCUGGAGUUAAGAUGGAGACAGCAUGCUGGAGCCUGGGGGAGGGCUGCGUGGGUGGAGGCAGGGGAGGGCCUUGACACCUCUUCUGAGGACACCGCUCUUGAGAUAAAAUGAAUAUACCCAUCAAA